rnacentral:rRNA from 1 species
CGACGGGUGAGUACACGUGGGCAUCUGCCCUUCACUCUGGGGACAAGUCCCUGCGCAAGACGGUGGUCUAAUACCAGGAUACGAGUUCCGUAGGCAUCUUCCCGGGCUGGAAAGCUCCGGACGGUGAAUGGAUGACCCCGCGGCCUAUCAGCUUGUUGGUGGGGUAAUGGCCUACCAAGGCGACGACGGGAUAGCCGGCCUGAGAGGGCGACCGGCCACACUGGGACUGAGACACGGCCCAGACUCCUACGGGAGGCAGCAGUGGGGAAUAUUGCACAAUGGGCGAAAGCCUGAUGCACCGACGCCGCGUGAGGGAUGACGGCCUUCGGGUUGUAAACCUCUUUCAGCAGGGAAGAAGCGCAAGUGACGGUACCUGCAGAAGAAUCGCCGGCUAACUACGUGCCAGCAGCCGCGGUAAUACGUAGGGCGCAAGCGUUGUCCGGAAUUAUUGGGCGUAAAGAGCUCGUAGGCGGCCUUGUCACGUCGGGUGUGAAAGCCCGGGGCUUAACCCCGGGUCUGCAUCCGAUACGGGCA